AGUAAGGUGAAACGAUUUCAGAAAUUGGAGCUUAGAGUGCGGUGAUGAAAACUUGGACGUGGGGAACGCGCCGCCGGGCCGCCACGUGUCCCGAGUCGUGGUGGCGGCCGGCUUCGAGCGUAGGCGUGCGGAGGCGGCCGCUUGUGGCCGCGCGGCCUGGUUGUUACGCCCGGGCAGCCCCUGACUGAGCCUGGGAGGCGACCGGCAGAAGACAACAUUCCUGGGAUUUGGGGGCGGGGGGUUACCCUUAACGUUAAGAGCAAGAGUCCCGUGAUAGGGUGUCUUUCUCCCAUGGCCAGAUCAACAGUUAUUUCAAAACGGGCAGCCCCGGACUCGGCGUGAGACUGAGUUGUAUUGUGCCGAGGUGGCGCUGUGUGCAAAUAGGAUUAUUGAAGGGGAGGAGUUUAGUGCUGAAAACCUUGAACUAUGACUUUCUGUGAGAAUGCUUAAUUUUAAAUAGAUGCCCCGCAAGAACAAUGGCUUUAGGUGUAACGGAGCUGUUAUGUGGAGAGGCAGAGGUAAGGGUUGUUGAGGGCUUAUUUUUAAACCGAAGGAGUAAACCUGUUGAUUUACAGAAACGAUGAUGGAGCAUCAUUUGAAAUUAAACUUUUUUUUAGAUGCAAAGAAAAGUUCCAAAACGUAUGGGAGAAGGUUUGCUGGAAAAUGACUUGGUUAAAACUUGACAAUCUUACCAGGAGCAUCCUGCAGGUCGAUGAAUACUAAUGAAGCUAUGACCGUCACCGAUUGAUGAUGAACAGCUUCAUUUGAAAUGACAGGGGUCGCUGUCCGCCUAUUGAAAGAGGCCAGUUUGCCAUGAAGUUCCUAAGGUGUAAAUAUGUCUGGCUAGUGCCACGAGAUUUACUUGUCUGUUGUAUGAAAAACUGGUGAUCAGGAAAAGCUCUUCAUUUUAUGGACACGGAAAGAAAACAAAACUCAAGACAGAUUAUUUAAUUUUGAAAUUGCAUUUGUAAAAAGAUUUCUGAGCCAACGUCAAAUCUAGAUUAAUGCAUCCAUAAGAUUCAAGCCAUUUCUGUUUAAUCUUGUCACUGUCCUAGAGUCAUAACCUGUUAGCCAGUAUAUUAUUGAUACUUUCUAGCUCUGAAACUGUUUUUAAUGGAAAAUUAUUUUUCAGUUGUCCAGCCUUGUAAUUAAAUAAUUCUGAGUGAAUGUUUA